rnacentral:lncRNA from 1 species
AUGGCAGCGCGGGACCACGAGUCCAGGCUGGCAACCGGGCUCCAGCCGGCAGUGGCCACGCCUGGGGCACCCAGGACUCCGAGCCUCAGGAGCAGCUGGGCUGGGAGCAGCGGGGAAGGAGCAAUCUCCAGACUCAGCUCUGCUGAAGGAGGGAGAUCAAAAGGGAAAAUUUGCAAGUUAGAUUUACCCUCAAUUCUAUUAAACCACCAAAAGCUGUGGGAAAAUAGUAUUAGGGUCUUAACUCCACGAAUGCCGGAGACCCUGCCUGGAUGGGCCUCCCGGCCCUUUAGUAGGCAAACCCCGGACCAUGCAGGAUGGUGGACAGGGCCAGAGGGGGGCAGCGGUCACCAGAGAGAGGGACAGGGAGGCGAAGUGGACGGGAAAGGCUGGGGUCACUGGCAGGAGUGUCUGGUGUCACCUCCCUCACAUAACAUCAGCCCGAGUCCGACCUCCCACUAAGGACUGGUGCUCGCCUAAGGCUAGGGGCGCGGACCUGGGCCAGACCGGCGGGGCUUGGAUCUUGGCUUAGUGACUUCCCAGCUGGAUGACCUUGGGUGGGUGACCCGACCCCUCUGCUUCAGUGGUGAGAAGUGGGUGAGCCACCCCGGAACCUCAGGGCACCCUCCACUGGCGCAACUCUACCGUCCCGAAGGAGGACAGAGCUCAGAACUGGCAGGAGGGGUCUCAGAAGCCCCUGGAAAUCCUUGGUGUGGUCCAAAGCCAUAUGUGGGGCCAUUUUUCUAAACAGAAGGGGUCCUCUGUCAGCUCCACCUCAGCUCAGCCUCAUGGGCCCGGGCUUAGACCUCCUGCACCCAGGUCACUCCAUCUGCACCCAGCUUUUGAGGGGUUCCUU